rnacentral:piRNA from 1 species
GCUUGACCAGGACUUGGGUAGAAGU